rnacentral:rRNA from 1 species
UACGUAGGGCGCAAGCGUUGUCCGGAAUUAUUGGGCGUAAAGAGCUCGUAGGCGGUCUGUUACGUCCGCUGUGAAAACCCAGGGCUUAACCCUGGCUGCAGUGGAUACGGGCAGACUAGAGGUAGGUAGGGGAGAAUGGAAUUCCCGGUGUAGCGGUGAAAUGCGCAGAUAUCGGGAGGAACACCGGUGGCGAAGGCGGUUCUCUGGGCCUUACCUGACGCUGAGGAGCGAAAGCGUGGGGAGCAAACAGG